rnacentral:rRNA from 1 species
GAUGAACGCUGGCGGCGUGCCUAAUACAUGCAAGUCGAGCGAACGGACGAGAAGCUUGCUUCUCUGAUGUUAGCGGCGGACGGGUGAGUAACACGCGGAUAACCUACCUAUAAGACUGGGAUAACUUCGGGAAACCGUAGCUAAUACCGGAUAAUAUUUUGAACCGCAUGGUUCAAAAGUGAAAGACGGUCUUGCUGUCACUUAUAGAUGGAUCCGCGCUGCAUUAGCUAGUUGGUAAGGUAACGGCUUACCAAGGCAACGAUGCAUAGCCGACCUGAGAGGGUGAUCGGCCACACUGGAACUGAGACACGGUCCAGACUCCUACGGGAGGCAGCAGUAGGGAAUCUUCCGCAAUGGGCGAAAGCCUGACGGAGCAACGCCGCGUGAGUGAUGAAGGUCUUCGGAUCGUAAAACUCUGUUAUUAGGGAAGAACAUAUGUGUAAGUAACUGUGCACAUCUUGACGGUACCUAAUCAGAAAGCCACGGCUAACUACGUGCCAGCAGCCGCGGUAAUACGUAGGUGGCAAGCGUUAUCCGGAAUUAUUGGGCGUAAAGCGCGCGUAGGCGGUUUUUUAAGUCUGAUGUGAAAGCCCACGGCUCAACCGUGGAGGGUCAUUGGAAACUGGAAAACUUGAGUGCAGAAGAGGAAAGUGGAAUUCCAUGUGUAGCGGUGAAAUGCGCAGAGAUAUGGAGGAACACCAGUGGCGAAGGCGACUUUCUGGUCUGUAACUGACGCUGAUGUGCGAAAGCGUGGGGAUCAAACAGGAUUAGAUACCCUGGUAGUCCACGCCGUAAACGAUGAGUGCUAAGUGUUAGGGGGUUUCCGCCCCUUAGUGCUGCAGCUAACGCAUUAAGCACUCCGCCUGGGGAGUACGACCGCAAGGUUGAAACUCAAAGGAAUUGACGGGGACCCGCACAAGCGGUGGAGCAUGUGGUUUAAUUCGAAGCAACGCGAAGAACCUUACCAAAUCUUGACAUCCUUUGACAACUCUAGAGAUAGAGCCUUCCCCUUCGGGGGACAAAGUGACAGGUGGUGCAUGGUUGUCGUCAGCUCGUGUCGUGAGAUGUUGGGUUAAGUCCCGCAACGAGCGCAACCCUUAAGCUUAGUUGCCAUCAUUAAGUUGGGCACUCUAAGUUGACUGCCGGUGACAAACCGGAGGAAGGUGGGGAUGACGUCAAAUCAUCAUGCCCCUUAUGAUUUGGGCUACACACGUGCUACAAUGGACAAUACAAAGGGCAGCGAAACCGCGAGGUCAAGCAAAUCCCAUAAAGUUGUUCUCAGUUCGGAUUGCAGUCUGCAACUCGACUACAUGAAGCUGGAAUCGCUAGUAAUCGUAGAUCAGCAUGCUACGGUGAAUACGUUCCCGGGUCU